rnacentral:rRNA from 1 species
GAUGAACGCUGGCGGCGUGCCUAAUACAUGCAAGUCGAGCGAACAGAUGAGGUGCUUGCUCCUCUGACGUUAGCGGCGGACGGGUGAGUAACACGUGGAUAACCUACCUAUAAGACUGGGAUAACUUCGGGAAACCGGAGCUAAUACCGGAUAAUAUAUUGAACCGCAUGGUUCAAUAGUGAAAGACGGUUUUGCUGUCACUUAUAGAUGGAUCCGCGCUGCAUUAGCUAGUUGGUAAGGUAACGGCUUACCAAGGCAACGAUGCGUAGCCGACCUGAGAGGGUGAUCGGCCACACUGGAACUGAGACACGGUCCAGACUCCUACGGGAGGCAGCAGUAGGGAAUCUUCCGCAAUGGGCGAAAGCCUGACGGAGCAACGCCGCGUGAGUGAUGAAGGUCUUCGGAUCGUAAAACUCUGUUAUUAGGGAAGAACAAAUGUGUAAGUAACUGUGCACGUCUUGACGGUACCUAAUCAGAAAGCCACGGCUAACUACGUG